rnacentral:rRNA from 1 species
UACAGAGGAUGCAAGCGUUAUCCGGAAUGAUUGGGCGUAAAGCGUCUGUAGGUGGCUUUUUAAGUCCGCCGUCAAAUCCCAGGGCUCAACUCUGGACAGGCGGUGGAAACUACCAAGCUGGAGUACGGUAGGGGCAGAGGGAAUUUCCGGUGGAGCGGUGAAAUGCGUAGAGAUCGGGAGGAACACCGGUGGCGAAGGCGGGUCUCUGGGCCGAUACUGACGCUGAGGAGCGAAAGCGUGGGGAGCGAACAGG